GCCUCCGUGGUGUAGCUGUCAACACGUCUGACCCGGGGCUUGUCAGAAGACGUGGGUUCGAAUCCCAUCGGUGGCG